GCAGCCGCGGUAAUACAGAGGUGGCAAGCGUUGUUCGGAAUUAUUGGGCGUAAAGAGCACGUAGGUGGGUUUGUAAGUCAGAUGUGAAAGCCUUCUGUUCAACGGAAGAAUUGCAUCUGAAACUGCGAGUCUUGAGUGUAGGAGGGGAGAAUGGAACUUCUGGUGGAGCGGUGAAAUGCGUAGAUAUCAGAAGGAACGCCGGCGGCGAAAGCGAUUCUCUGGCCUAUUACUGACACUCAGUGUGCGAAAGCUAGGGGAGCAAACGGGAUUAGAUACCCCGGUAGUCCUAGCUGUAAACGAUGGGCACUAAGUAGAGGGAAUUACCGAUGUUCUCUCUGCCGUAGCUAACGCAUUAAGUGCCCCGCCUGGGGAGUACGGCCGCAAGGCUAAAACUCAAAAGAAUUGACGGGGGCUCGCACAAGCGGUGGAGCAUGUGGCUUAAUUCGAUGCAACGCGAAGAACCUUACCGGGGCUUGACAUGUUAGAAGUAGGAACCCGAAAGGGUAACGAACGGUAUCCAGUCCGUAACUUUCACAGGUGUUGCAUGGCUGUCGUCAGCUCGUGUCGUGAGACGUUGGGUUAAGUCCCCUAACGAGCGAAACCCUUGUUUUUAGUUACCAGCGGGUUAUGCCGGGUACUCUAGAAAGACUGCCGUCGUCAAGACGGAGGAAGGUGGGGAUGACGUCAAGUCAUCAUGGCCCUUAUGCCCCGGGCUGCACACGUGCUACAAUGGUCGGUACAAACGGAAGCGAAACCGAGAGGUGGAGCGAAUCCUAAAAAGCCGAUCUCAGUUCGGAUUGGAGGCUGAAAUUCGCCUCCAUGAAGUUGGAAUCG
rnacentral:rRNA from 1 species